UACGUAGGGGGCAAGCGUUGUCCGGAUUUAUUGGGCGUAAAGCGCUCGCAGGUGGUCCGUCGCGUCGUGCGUGAAAUACCCCAGCUCAACUGGGGAGGGUCACGCGAUACUGAUCGACUCGAAGGCAGGAGAGGGUAGUGGAAUUCCCGGUGUAGUGGUGAAAUGCGUAGAUAUCGGGAGGAACACCAGUGGCGAAGGCGACUACCUGGCCUGUUCUUGACGCUGAGGCGCGAAAGCUAGGGGAGCAAACGGG
rnacentral:rRNA from 1 species